rnacentral:rRNA from 1 species
GGGUGCUCAUGUCUAGUAUAAGCAUUAUACCGUGAAACUGCGAAUGGCUCAUUAAAUCAGUUAUCGUUUAUUUGAUAAUACCUUACUACUUGGAUAACCGUGGUAAUUCUAGAGCUAAUACAUGCUGAAAAUCCCGACUUCGGAAGGGAUGUGUUUAUUAGAUAAAAAACCAAUGCCCUUCGGGGCUUUUUGGUGAUUCAUGAUAACUUUACGGAUCGCAUAGCCUUGCGCUGGCGACGGUUCAUUCAAAUUUCUGCCCUAUCAACUUUCGAUGGUAAGGUAUUGGCUUACCAUGGUUUCAACGGGUAACGGGGAAUUAGGGUUCGAUUCCGGAGAGGGAGCCUGAGAAACGGCUACCACAUCCAAGGAAGGCAGCAGGCGCGCAAAUUACCCAAUCCCGACACGGGGAGGUAGUGACAAUAAAUACUGAUACAGGGCUCUUUUGGGUCUUGUAAUUGGAAUGAGUACAAUUUAAACCUCUUAACGAGGAACAAUUGGAGGGCAAGUCUGGUGCCAGCAGCCGCGGUAAUUCCAGCUCCAAUAGCGUAUAUUAAAGUUGUUGCAGUUAAAAAGCUCGUAGUUGAAACUUGGGCCUGGCUGGCGGGUCCGCCUCACCGCGUGCACUCGUCCGGCCGGGCCUUCCUUCUGAAGAACCUCAUGCCCUUCACUGGGCGUGCUGGGGAAUCAGGACUUUUACUUUGAAAAAAUUAGAGUGUUCAAAGCAGGCCUUUGCUCGAAUACGUUAGCAUGGAAUAAUAAAAUAGGGCGUGCGUUUCUAUUUUGUUGGUUUCUAGAGACGCCGCAAUGAUUAACAGGAACAGUCGGGGGCAUCAGUAUUCAGUUGUCAGAGGUGAAAUUCUUGGAUUUACUGAAGACUAACUACUGCGAAAGCAUUUGCCAAGGAUGUUUUCAUUAAUCAGUGAACGAAAGUUAGGGGAUCGAAGACGAUCAGAUACCGUCGUAGUCUUAACCGUAAACUAUGCCGACUAGGGAUCGGGCGAUGUUCUUUUUCUGACUCGCUCGGCACCUUACGAGAAAUCAAAGUUUUUGGGUUCUGGGGGGAUUAUGGUCGCAAGGCUGAAACUUAAAGAAAUUGACGGAAGGCACCACCAGGCGUGGAGCCUGCGGCUUAAUUUGACUCAACACGGGGAAACUCACCAGGUCCAGAUGAAAUAAGGAUUGACAAAUUGAAACUCUUUCUUGAUUUUUCAGGGGGGGUGCAUGGCCGUCCUUAUUUCCUGGGGUGACUUGUCUGCUUAUUUGGAUAACCAGCGAGAACUUAAUCUGGUAAAAACAAGGGAAACUUUGGUUGGGCGCGCGUCUUUAAAGAACAUACACCCACGUUAAGGAAGUGUAGGCAAAACAAGCUUGGAAGGUUUAAAAUUCUGGGCCCACCCGCUCACUCGAAAGACAAAAAUGCUUCCUGUUCUCAAAAAGGGAAAAUUGUGAUCUUCCUCGGGGGGAAAAAUAAAAUACUUUUUACAAAAAUUCAAAGCUCGCUUGGGGUUCGUGUCGUGCGUUUUUCACCCCGCUCCCCUAAGGAAAAGGCUUUGAACGUGGUCAACCCAGCCAGGGAAAAGAACAUAUUGCGGCGCCUCCGCACAUACAUUUCUUAGGUUGCCCCUGUCCAGUGAUAAAAAUAGGGGGAUACCGAUGCUUCACGCUGAGAAAUUGCGUCUCCACUCGCUCUAAAAACAACCUUCCGUUAACUAGCCUUAAAAAAAAAACACCCGCAGCGCGUUUCUCUGAUUUCGGAUCACAUAAGAGGGAUUUGUAAUGGGCCAUGCCCGGGCCCAAAGGUAAAAGUUAAACCUAAACUGUAAAAAUUAAUUUUCAUUAAAU